rfam:Sus scrofa isolate TJ Tabasco breed Duroc chromosome 13, whole genome shotgun sequence.
CUCUUGUUAAUCUAGUGGCUAGGAUUCCUGGUUUUCAACCAGGCUGCCCAGGUUUAAUUCCUGAGCAGAAAA